UACAGGCUUAACACAUGCAAGUCGAGGGGCAGCAUGGUCUUAGCUUGCUAAGGCCGAUGGCGACCGGCGCACGGGUGAGUAACACGUAUCCAACCUGCCGUCUACUCUUGGACAGCCUUCUGAAAGGAAGAUUAAUACAAGAUGGCAUCAUGAGUCCGCAUGUUCACAUGAUUAAAGGUAUUCCGGUAGACGAUGGGGAUGCGUUCCAUUAGAUAGUAGGCGGGGUAACGGCCCACCUAGUCUUCGAUGGAUAGGGGUUCUGAGAGGAAGGUCCCCCACAUUGGAACUGAGACACGGUCCAAACUCCUACGGGAGGCAGCAGUGAGGAAUAUUGGUCAAUGGGCGAGAGCCUGAACCAGCCAAGUAGCGUGAAGGAUGACUGCCCUAUGGGUUGUAAACUUCUUUUAUAAAGGAAUAAAGUCGGGUAUGGAUACCCGUUUGCAUGUACUUUAUGAAUAAGGAUCGGCUAACUCCGUGCCAGCAGCCGCGGUAAUACGGAGGAUCCGAGCGUUAUCCGGAUUUAUUGGGUUUAAAGGGAGCGUAGAUGGAUGUUUAAGUCAGUUGUGAAAGUUUGCGACUCAACCGUAAAAUUGCAGUUGAUACUGGAUAUCUUGAGUGCAGUUGAGGCAGGCGGAAUUCGUGGUGUAGCGGUGAAAUGCUUAGAUAUCACGAAGAACUCCGAUUGCGAAGGCAGCCUGCUAAGCUGCAACUGACAUUGAGGCUCGAAAGUGUGGGUAUCAAACAGGAUUAGAUACCCUGGUAGUCCACACGGUAAACGAUGAAUACUCGCUGUUUGCGAUAUACUGCAAGCGGCCAAGCGAAAGCGUUAAGUAUUCCACCUGGGGAGUACGCCGGCAACGGUGAAACUCAAAGGAAUUGACGGGGGCCCGCACAAGCGGAGGAACAUGUGGUUUAAUUCGAUGAUACGCGAGGAACCUUACCCGGGCUUAAAUUGCAGAUGAAUUACGGUGAAAGCCGUAAGCCGCAAGGCAUCUGUGAAGGUGCUGCAUGGUUGUCGUCAGCUCGUGCCGUGAGGUGUCGGCUUAAGUGCCAUAACGAGCGCAACCCUUGUUGUCAGUUACUAACAGGUUCCGCUGAGGACUCUGACAAGACUGCCAUCGUAAGAUGUGAGGAAGGUGGGGAUGACGUCAAAUCAGCACGGCCCUUACGUCCGGGGCUACACACGUGUUACAAUGGGGGGUACAGAGGGCCGCUACCACGCGAGUGGAUGCCAAUCCCAAAAACCUCUCUCAGUUCGGACUGGAGUCUGCAACCCGACUCCACGAAGCUGGAUUCGCUAGUAAUCGCGCAUCAGCCACGGCGCGGUGAAUACGUUCCCGGGCCUUGUACACACCGCCCGUCAAGCCAUGGGAGCCGGGGGUACCUGAAGUGCGUAACCGCGAGGAGCGCCCUAGGGUAAAACUGGUGACUGGGGCUAAGUA
rnacentral:rRNA from 1 species